UAAAUGAAGAACCAUAGCACUGGGCACCGAUAUAUAAUGAGUGACAAGCUUUUUAAGUGGGCCUAGAAAACCCACGUUACUGAUUUA
rnacentral:snoRNA from 1 species